rnacentral:rRNA from 1 species
UACGGAGGGUGCAAGCGUUAUCCGGAUUCACUGGGUUUAAAGGGUGCGUAGGUGGGCAAGUAAGUCAGUGGUGAAAUCUCCGGGCUUAACCCGGAAACUGCCAUUGAUACUAUUUGUCUUGAAUACUGUGGAGGUCAGCGGAAUAUGUCAUGUAGCGGUGAAAUGCUUAGAUAUGACAUAGAACACCAAUUGCGAAGGCAGCUGGCUACACAAAUAUUGACACUGAGGCAACGAAAGCGUGGGGGAUCAAACAGGA